rnacentral:lncRNA from 1 species
GAGAAAUGAGUGAGACCAAACAAUGAAAUAUGAAAAAUCAUUUAACAGAAAUUACAACAAACGCAGUAAGGACCCAAGGACCCCGGAGGGGGUCUCUUCACCUGCCUGCCUGCCUGAGAUCACCCAGCGGGUGCGCGACCUCCCGGACUGCGCGACAACAGACCCAGUAAUAAACAAAAACUUUGGACAAGAGAGGUGAAAGAAUAAUAGAAGAAAACAUGAGACAAGAUGGCUUUCAUCAGUUAAAGGAUUCUUUUCUAGUAUUUCCAGUAAUAUUGGAGGGAUAAAAUUUUGUGUUUUUUAUAUUGGAGAGUAGAAGUAGAUAAGAAACAGACAGGUAGUAAAAGCAAGAAAUGAAAAAUAUAUGAGAAAAUAAAGAAACGAAAAUAAAGUGUUUGUAAAUGGGGAGGGGAGGAGGUGUGAAGGGAGGGCAGGGACAAGGG